rnacentral:rRNA from 1 species
AGAUUGAACGCUGGCGGCAGGCCUAACACAUGCAAGUCGAGCGGCAGCACGGGUACUUGUACCUGGUGGCGAGCGGCGGACGGGUGAGUAAUGCCUAGGAAUCUGCCUGGUAGUGGGGGAUAACGCUCGGAAACGGACGCUAAUACCGCAUACGUCCUACGGGAGAAAGCAGGGGACCUUCGGGCCUUGCGCUAUCAGAUGAGCCUAGGUCGGAUUAGCUAGUUGGUGAGGUAAUGGCUCACCAAGGCGACGAUCCGUAACUGGUUUGAGAGGAUGAUCAGUCACACUGGAACUGAGACACGGUCCAGACUCCUACGGGAGGCAGCAGUGGGGAAUAUUGGACAAUGGGACGAAAGCCUGAUCCAGCCAUGCCGCGUGUGUGAAGAAGGUCUUCGGAUUGUAAAGCAACUUUAAGUUGGGAAGGAAGGCAGUUACCUAAUACGUAUCUGUUUGACGUUACCGACAGAAUAAGACCACCGGCUAACUCUGUGCCAGCACG